AUUGAACGCUGGCGGCAUGCCUUACACAUGCAAGUCGAACGGUAACGCGGGGCAACCUGGCGACGAGUGGCGAACGGGUGAGUAAUGCAUCGGAACGUGCCUGGUAGUGGGGGAUAACUGCUCGAAAGAGCAGCUAAUACCGCAUACGACCUGAGGGAGAAAGGGGGGGAUCGCAAGACCUCUCGCUAUCAGAGCGGCCGAUGUCGGAUUAGCUAGUUGGUGGGGUAAAGGCCUACCAAGGCGACGAUCAGUAGCUGGUCUGAGAGGACGAUCAGCCACACUGGGACUGAGACACGGCCCAGACUCCUACGGGAGGCAGCAGUGGGGAAUCUUGCGCAAUGCGCGAAAGCGUGACGCAGCAACGCCGCGUGGGGGAAGAAGGCCUUCGGGUUGUAAACCCCUUUCAGGAGGGACGAAGCCCCGGCCGUUAAUAGCGGACCGGGGUGACGGUACCUCCAGAAGAAGCCCCGGCUAACUACGUGCCAGCCGCCGCGGUAACAC
rnacentral:rRNA from 1 species